UAUGUAUAAUAUAUAUGUACAUUGGAUAUAUAUAUAGUACGCGAAGAAAAUCGUUCUAAAGAAGAAAAAUCUUACAGUUCGAUGAAAGAUAGGUUAAAGUUUUUUAAUGAGAUGUUUUGCUAUGAGUUUUCCCGAAAAACAAUUCUAUAAGUGAGCAUCAAGUACCUGAUAUAUAUACUGAAUGACUUCUGAUUGACUGGCAUUUUCCAGCGUACUGCCGUUGACUUGUAGAAUUUCGUCGGCCACUUCCAACGUGUCCGCGUUGUCGGCCGGGGAACCUGUAUCACAUUUCAAACAAUUCCGGCAAGUUAACUAAACGAACACACUUUCACAAGUACUUCAAGAAAUAAUAAUCAGAGUAAUUCAAUCGUCGAAUGAUUUACGAGUUGAACGUUCGUGCACGUAGAAAGGGGGAGAAAGAUAGAAAGAAAGAGAGAAAGAAAGAAACCAAUUUCUGAUAUAUAAAAGAACGAGUCUUAAGUGGAGAAAGAUGAUACGCGAGCAGACAGUAGAUGAAACUAUACAGACUAUGCAGGACGAACGGACAAGCCAAUUCGUUUGUAUGUCAAUGAUUACACAUGAUAGCGUCCUCGAGAAAAAAACACGAGAAACAAAAGAGAGAAAGGGUUUCACAGUUCACGCCUACGUGCUUGACAAGCAGCUUCGCUGACGCUCAUUAAACUGUAUGUAGCUGGUGCUAAUUAAAAAAAAAGAAAAAAAAGAAAAAGGAAAGAAGAAGAAAAAAAAAGGGAGGAAAGGAAUAUGUUUGUUAACUUUGCGACAGUAAACAGACAGCGAAGAUCGACCAUUUUUCCUGGCUUCGACGAUAGACGGCUGGUCUACUCGAUUACAAGGAGAGAGCGAUGCUUCAGGCGAAUCUUGACGCGACGUGCACGAUUAAAGUCGAUGAUAGGCGCAGCCGCCCCAUCACCGAAAAAAC